CAGGAACAAGCAACUCCUGGGUUUGUGUGGCCUUUGGGACGUCCAAAGCCCUCCUCCCUGAGUGAGAAGGCUCUCUGUGAUGUCUCUGUAUAGGACCUGAGAAGAACUGCAUUGGAUGAGUCUGUUUCCUUGUCUUCAUGGAUAAGAUCUGGAAAACCUGAAGGAUUUAACAACCAAUCAUGUGGACAUCCAGAAACAAGUCAGGAUAGGGCCUGCUUUCCUGAGAAACCGACUUUUCAAGCUAAAUUGUGGUUCUGGCCUGGUCCAGAAACGCAAGAAGAGGAGGAGGCUCUGAAGAAGGCAUUCACAGAGUAGCUGGCUGGAUCUGGUGCUAGACCUCAUGUACUCAACAGGAUUCUCGGUUUUAAGCAACCAAAUUGACUAGAGUUGAUUUAAAACUGACAGGGAUUUUGCUUAUGCAUUUUGAGUGCUUUAGCAAUCUUCUUGUACCAGAGACACACAGUGAGAGAAUGCCUGGGUGACAAUGGUUUUACAAAAUAUUUUGUAUCUCCCAUGGAUUUUACUUCUAAGAAAUUUACAUCAAUUGUUUUCCCUACUUUAUGAUAGACUUUUCUUCUUUUAAUUGGCACCUCAGUGCCCAAUUAAAUAAGCAUACUAAUUAGAAUAGCAAUAACAUAUAAUUAACUUUUGAAAACUCUUGAAUUUAUCAGCAUUAGGAAAUCCUAAUUUUAAACCUAGUUUGUUAAUGAUAUGCUCUACCUCCAUGCUUUCUAUUUCUUCCAUUUCUGAAACUAAUGGAAAACUGGAAAUGAUGUCAAAAUAAAUAAUAACUGGAAGUUCCAUAAUCAUUCUUAUUAGCACAUGUGUAAGGAGAUAUUCUCGAAGAAUAGGAAAUAAGAUUGCCCUCCAGGUGUUAAGCCAAAAAUCAACACUGAGAUGCACCUUGCAGAAAUGAAAUAGCCUGCCACCUAAUUAAAUACUGAAGAUGAGAAAAGUAGAGAGACACGAUCUGCCACAAAAUAUAGGAAAACGAGAUUCACAGUGUAGUAUUUGCAGAGCCCAGUUGUGUCUUAAGGAAAGUAGAACCAAGCUUCUACUAAGUAUCUUCUUUGCCUAAUAGGUAUUUCCUUAGAGCAGAAAUGCAUGUUUGGGCUCUCUUAAAAUAAUGUCAUUAAAUAUAAAUCUUUCUUAAGUACCUCCUCUUCUAAGCUUACACCCCUCAAGAUAUGAGCUAUUAGUUUAGAUUCUUCUGGGGUUUCAGUUCAGAGAAUGAGUGGAAGAUAAAUUGAACAGGAGGUUCCCUGAUCCCUAAAGAUUUUCUCAUUGUAAAUUAAUAAAAUAGCUGUCUGGUUUCAUAUGUCAGUCCUUUGGGGGGUUUGCUAAAUUGAACAUCCCGUUUGAUCAAUUUCAAAAUCUUGAUGAAACAUUUUCUAA